rnacentral:rRNA from 1 species
GAUGAACGCUGGCGGCGUGCCUAAUACAUGCAAGUCGAGCGAAAAGACGAGGAGCUUGCUCCUCUGACGUUAGCGGCGGACGGGUGAGUAACACGUGGAUAACCUACCUAUAAGACUGGGAUAACUUCGGGAAACCGGAGCUAAUACGGGAUAAUAUAUUGAACCGCAUGGUUCAAUAGUGAAAGACGGUUUUGCUGUCACUUAUAGAUGGAUCCGCGCCGCAUUAGCUAGUUGGUAAGGUAACGGCUUACCAAGGCAACGAUGCGUAGCCGACCUGAGAGGGUGAUCGGCCACACUGGAACUUAGACACGGUCCAGACUCCUACGGGAGGCAGCAGUAGGGAAUCUUCCGCAAUGGGCGAAAGCCUGACGGAGCAACGCCGCGUGAGUGAUGAAGGUCUUCGGAUCGUAAAACUCUGUUAUUAGGGAAGAACAAAUGUGUAAUUAACUAUGCACGUCUUGACGGUACCUAAUCAGAAAGCCACGGCUAACUACGUG